rnacentral:rRNA from 1 species
AAAAAGAGCCGGCAAAUCUGGUGCCAGCCGCCGCGGUUACACCACGUGACUCAAAUUGACCCUUUUCGGCGUAAAGCGUGAUUAAAGUUACUCACAAUUGGAGUAAAACCCUAACUAAGCUGUGACACGCUUGUGUAUGGGAAAGUCAAAAACGAAAGUUACUCCAAUUAAUUCAACUUGAACUCACGACAGCUGGGGAACAAACUGGGAUUAGAUACCCCACUAUGCCCAGCCGUAAACUUUUAAUUACACCCAUUUCGCCCGGGAACUACGAGCUAAGCUUAAAACCCAAAGGACUUGACGGUACCCCACAUCCACCUAGAGGAGCCUGUCCUAUAAUCGAUAACCCCCGUUUAACCUCACCAUCUUUAGCCUAUCAGCCUGUAUACCUCCGUCGUCAGCUUACCACGUGAGCGAUAUAAGUGAGCUUAAUGCCCAUACGCCAACACGUCAGGUCAAGGUGCAGCAAAUAAGAUGGGAAGAGAUGGGCUACACUUUCUAACUUAGAACAUACGAAAGACUACUUAUGAAACCCCUAGUCAGAAGGCGGAUUUAGAAGUAAAAAGAGAUCAGUAAAACUCUUUUUAACCCGGCACUGGGGCGUGUACACACCGCCCGUCACCCUCUUCAAGGCUUACAAAUAGUCCUUAACUAACCCACUGCCGCAUAGAAGAGGCAAGUCGUAACAUGGUAAGUAUACCGGAAGGUAUGCUUGGAACAA